GGACUACAGGGGUUUCUAAUCCUGUUUGCUCCCCACGCUUUCGUGCCUCAGUGUCAGUUACGGUCCAGGAAGUCGCCUUCGCCACUGAUGUUCCUUCCGAUAUCUACGCAUUUCACCGCUACACCGGAAAUUCCACUUCCCUCUACCGCACUCUAGCUUAAUAGUUUCAACUGCAGUUCCCAGGUUGAGCCCGGGGAUUUCACAGCUGACUUACUAAACCACCUACGCACGCUUUACGCCCAGUAAUUCCGAUUAACGCUCGCACCCUCUGUAUUACCGCGGCGGCUGGCAC
rnacentral:rRNA from 1 species